rnacentral:rRNA from 1 species
GCGAGCUGGGUUCAGAACGUCGUGAGACAGUUCGGUCCCUAUCCGUCGCAGGCGUAGGAAAUUUGAGAAGACCUGUCCUUAGUACGAGAGGACCGGGAUGGACGUACCUCUGGUGUACCAGUUGUUCUGCCAAGGGCAUGGCUGGGUAGCUAUGUACGGAAUGGAUAAGCGCUGAAAGCAUCUAAGCGCGAAGCCAACUUCAAGAUAAGAUUUCCCACCGCAAGGGUAAGACCCCAGAAAGACUAUCUGGUUGAUAGGUCGAAGGUGUAAGUGCAGCAAUGUAUUUAGCUUAUCGAUACUAAUAGGUCGAGGACUUGACCAAU